UGCUGCUCUGGGUCGUGGCGUCCGGUGGGUUCGCGCUCUACCUGGCGUACUUCGCCAACUACAACAAAACGUACGGCACGCUCGGUGGUGUC
rnacentral:tRNA from 1 species